GCGGAUGUGAUGGAAUCGGCAGACAUGCAAGAUUUAGGAUCUUGUGCCGCAGGGCGUGCAGGUUCAAGUCCUGUCAUCCGCACCA
rnacentral:tRNA from 1 species